UAUAUUUGCGCCUCGAAAGAAAGGCUUUCGUGUACAUAACAAUCAUUUACAAUAAUAUUAGAAUG
rnacentral:ncRNA from 1 species